rnacentral:rRNA from 1 species
UACAGAGGCCUCGAGCGUUAGGCGGAAUCACUGGGCUUAAAGCGUGUGUAGGCGGACUUCUAAGUGCCUUGUGAAAUCCCACGGCUCACCCGUGGAACUGCUGGGCAUACUGGGAGUCUUGAGCCACCUGGGGGCGAGCGGAACAAAUGGUGGAGCGGUGAAAUGCGUAGAUAUCAUUUGGAACGCCAACGGAGAAAUCAGCUCGCUGGGGGUGUGCUGACGCUGAGACACGAAAGCCAGGGGAGCGAACGGG